GUGGAAACAACCCAGACGGCCAGCAACAGAUGAUGGAGGAACAGAACGCCCGUCCGCGCGGGGGACCAGCGCUCAGCCAUAGAGACGGGCGAAGCCCUGACAGGCGCUACAGCAGGGACGGACCUGGGAAACCUGGCGCCAAGAGGAGAAAGCCACACACAGGGGGCCACAAGGUGUGCGAUCCCAUUUAUGAAACAUCUGGAACAGGCCGUGCGCAGCGGGCCCUGAAGCCGGCGGGUCGGGCCUGCUGGGCGGCUCGCGAGGCUUCUGCAACACUGGCCCAGCCAGGGGUUCCUGUUUUGGGAGAAUGUUGUCACCACCGCUUCUUAGAAAGAGCCUGAGGCCCGCUGAGAACAUUAGGGUUUCGCAGGAGCGUGGUGGCCGGACUGAAGCCCGCCCUGGGCAGACCUGGCGACAGGCUCCUGAGACAAGGUGGGCGGCCGGCCAGGUCACUGAGCCCGCGGCCGGGGGGAGGAAGCCGAAGGGCACGGUGACUCCACGGGCCACAGUGGGGUGACGGGGGUCCCAGGGCCGCAGUGAGGGGCCGAGCCAGGGCCGUAGCAGGGGCCGAGCCAGGGUCGUAGCAGGGGCCUUUCUGCUCUGAGCGACCCCGCCCCUACCCCGGCCUCGCGCCCGGCCCCAUCCCCAUCUCCUGCCCCGCCCCCGGCCCUGGCCCCGCCCCGGCCCCCAUCCCCCAUCCCCAUCUCCUGCCCCGCCCCGGCCCCCGACCCCGUCCCCCAGCCCCCUCCCCAUGCCCCGUCUGGUCCCGUCCCCGCGGCCCGCGCGGCGGGCGCCGCCGCCCCCGCUGAGGAUCUCCUCCUCGGCCGCCUGGAGGCCCCGUUGUGAAACGCCCUGGACUCAGCCCUCCCGCGCCCCCACGGACGGACCAGGACACCGAGGCCGAGAGCUCAGCCAGGAGCCCACGGGCGCCAGCUGCUUCUUGGGCACAGUGGCUCUUCCCGCCCUCGGCGCGCGGAGUCGGCCGGAAAAGAAGAGGCUCGGGUGUCACCUCCACCUUUGACAUAGAGCCAAGCAGCCUGGCCUUGCUGUGCCUCACUUUCCGCCCCCCCUCCCCCAGCAUGCGUCACUCACUCGUCUUAAACCUCCUGUUCGCCGCGUUGGUGGCCUUUGCAUGUGUCCACCGUGCGUCCUCAGCCUCCGCUCAAACCUGUCCGUGGCAUUGCCUUGGUCUCAGGUGACGUCCACACUCUUGGCGGUGACUUCCGAGGCUGUGGUGCCCAGGCCCUGCCCCCACCCCUGUCACGCAGGCCUCCCCAGGCCCUGGCCCGAGCUGUGCCCCUUUUGUACUGCCCUUCCCGGGUCCAGCCAUGCCCUCGGCCUCUCCGUUAGUGCUUUCUCACCCCGGUCUGCCUCAGCCUCAUGUUAACAGCUUUCUUUCCUUUUCUUCUUUAUAAGCGUUUUAUUCAAGAAUAACACGCAGACGUUGAAGAGCCUGAAUCCCGAGUGUGCAGCUCUCGAUACAUUUUCACAAAGUUAACACACCCACCUCUCCAGCACCCAGAUCAAGAGGCAGGACAUCGCAGCCCCUCUCUCCCAGUGGAGCUCGCUUGCAGGCUCAGCGUUUUGAAUUGAUGAUUGAUGAUUACAGGAUAGGCCCCCUGCCUGUCAUGCAGCUGCUCAACAAGCUGCAGGGUCCAUGGCUUGCAUUAAUAGAGGUGUAGACUCCAGGAUGAAGGAGAUGAUUUCCCUCCUCAUUCUGGGCUGGUCAGAGCAGGCAGGCAGCUCCCCCUGCCACUUUGCAACGGGGCAGGCAGAUGGCAGAGGGUUCAGGGAGGAUCACCGUGGUGUGUGUGUCUCUGUGUGUGUGCGUGUGCAUGUGCACACUUCUGAGUGGUGCCCUGGGAGAAAGCACUGGAGGCUUUAGGCGUUUGACCUGGAGACGGACAGCCCCGGGUCCCUGUCACCUGCUCCGGUGGCUGGAUGGCAGGGCAGGGUCUGAGGGAGGCACCGUCUCACCAGCCAGUUUCUAGGCUAUGAGCAGGCUGCUUUGAAUGGUACUGAGCAUCCCGUCAGGACAGAGAGGCCAGCCCAGUGCCUCCUCGGCAGCAGGCUGGGCAGGACAGCGUGGUCCUGCCUCUUACCCGCCGCAGGCCUUGCAGAGAGGGACUGAGGAGAACUGCAGGGGACAUGUGGCCACGCUGAGACCUUUCUCGGGGGGAGAUGGAAGCCCAGAACUGGACAGUGACCUGCCCACGGUCAUUUGUCCCAAGCUGGCUUUCCAGGCACAGGCCUGGCUUGGAGCUUGGGCUUUGGGUGGAGUUCAGGUUGGGUUAUAUCUGGCACGGCCGUUCCCUCUCGCCGGCUGCAGCUGCCUGGGGUGGGGACGGUGGGGCAUGCUCCACCAGCCGCACUGGCAAGCGGCUGCAGGUGCUGGGCCGGCCAUUUACAUAGCCACGCUUGGCCUCCCCCGCCUGGCGGCCGGCCUGCCCCCUGGCCUCUCACCAGGAAAGGGCCAGGGCUUCUGAGCGCGGGAGCCAGCUCGGAGCCCCGUAAGCUUGGUGUAGUUUUAUUUCACUUCUGCGUUUCACUUUUACUGGUCUCGGCUGAAGGAUGCAUGUUAGUCAGCCCCGAGAGAAGUUACUGUGUGCUGUGCCAGCUGGGGUGGGGGCGGGUGAGUGGGCAGACCCGGGUCUGAGUCCCAAGCCACUGCUGGGCGUGUGACCCCUGGAGCCACACUCCACCCCCUGAGCCUCCUGUGAUGUGCACGGGGUGCGGGAGGAGACCCGGGGCCUCGGUUUUGAUGCGGGCCUGCCUCUGUCCUGCUGUGUGGCCUCAGGCAAGUCCCUUCCCCUCUCUGGGCCUCAAUUCUCUCCUCUGUAAAAUGGAAUAACCACAGUCACAUCCUUGCAACGCUGUCUCUCUGAUCCGACACUGGCGCAGGGUCUGGCUGAGUGCUUGUCCAGCGGGCUGUUUCGGGCUGUUUCGGGCUGGGCGAAGUGAGGAGGCCUGAGGGUGGAGGGGCUGGAGCAGUCGUAUGUCCUUGAACUUGAGAAACCUGAGCUUGUGUAGGGAUUUCAUCAUGAGGCUGGAUGAAAUGCAGAUUCCUGGGCCUGCCCGGGCAUCUGCGGGAGCCACGUCAGGCCCAGAAACUUCAGGGAAAUCUCUGGGGCCCGUGGGUGCGUUUGGUGUCAAGUCUGUGUUUCUCAGGACACGACCAGGGAAGGGCUGUGGAGAGGGGGAAACUGAGGCACAGAGGUGCAGCCAGUUCCCAGGGGGGCUCAGCAAGCCAGUGCUGCGCCAGGAUUGAGUGGGGUAGGCCCGAUCCAGACCGGUGCCCCAGCACGCGGCGGCCCUCGGCGGCUCUGCCCAGAGCCCGGGUGCUGCCUCCCAGGGCCGCGGGCUCCCCCCGGGAGUGGCUCGGGGCUGAGCCGGGUUUAUAUAGGGCCUCCCAAAAUAUCUGGCCGCCCAUAGGCCGAGGCUGGCGAGGGCGCGGCUGGCCAGCGCCGCGGCUUCCUGUCCUGCCAAGAUGUUUCCUGCCGAUAGCCGGGCCAGCGGCCUUAUCUGUGACCUCGGGCCGCUGUGAGGACAGCCCCCCUGCCAAGGGACAGGCUGUUCUGGCCCAGGCAGGGGCUGCAGGGACCCUGGAGGGUCAGGGCGAGCAGCCCACUGGGGGUGGGGGUCAUUUGGUCAACACAUGACUUUUGGGAAGGAGCACUGUGCUCGGAGUCCAGCUGCCCCAGAGUUGAGCUGCGGCUCUGGGGCCAAAUGGCUACCUGUCUCUGGGGAGCAGGGCCCCUCUCAAAGUGCCCCUUGCCCAUCAAGUGGGGACAGUGGCAUCUCCAUUUUCCUUCAACUCUCCCCACCCCUAGCCCCUCAAGGAGCCCCAGUCUGCAGGAGACGAGCUGGCCACGCAUGCCCCCAGCCCCGCAGCGCCAGGGCUCGGCUGGAGGGAAGGCAGAGGUGGGAGGAAUCCAGGUGUCUGUAUGGAGCAGCUGCCUGGAGAAGGGAUGUCACAGCUGGGGUUUAAUGGUUAUGUAGGAGCUCACCAGGCAGAACUCAUGGAGGGGAUGGCCAGGCUGAGGGAACAGUGCCUGUGAAUGCUUGGAGUCCAAGUGCCACUCUCAUUUCACAGAGAAAGACACUGAGGUUUUCAGAGGAGGUGAUGCCGUGGCUCUGAAACCUGGCUCUUUCUUCCCCUAUACCCACUGACGGGGACCUGAGCUCCUGGAAGGGGACAUGUACCCUCCGCAUUGUGACCCUGGGAUCUGGAGAACAAUUUUAAAUUUCAAAAUUGCUUUUAUUGCAGCCCAAACAGUGGAAUUAACUCUACGUAAUAAUGAGGUGUGUGUGAGAGGUGUGUGCGUGUGUGGCCCUAUAGAUGCACACACAGUAAUAACUCAGAGGGAAUAAAAUUUCUAGGAAAUAAGGUUUAUUUUGGCAGGUGGUAUUAAAAUUAAAGUUGCCGACAUUGAUAACUCAACGUCUUUAACUGGGCAUAAGUGUGACACGUUUUCCUGCCAGGUCACCGACCUCAACGGCUUCGCAAUGAACCGCGACCCUGAGAUGAGCUGUUCUCUUCCUGUGAGUGAAGCUCUGAUUCCGGGGGUCCCCCCCCAGGGUCUCAUCAGCUCCACGCCAGGGGCUGGGGGACCCUCGGGCACUGGGCCGGCUGGGGUGUAACCGGAGCUGGGGGCACGGGGCUGGGGGCGAAGGCCCUUCCCGGGGUCCCAGCGGGCGGGCGGCUGGGGCCGGGCGGCUUCAGGGAGGCUGUCCACGCCCGCCCUGCCCUCGAGGGGCCAGCGCCCCAGGACCGUCCACCCUGAGGACCAGCCCCGCUCACUCGCGCCGUCCCUCCCUCGCUGGCUCGGGUUUGAGGCUGUGUCCCCAACACAGGGAGGGUCAGUGGGGCAAGAGGUGAAGGGAGCGCUGGUUUGGGUUUCCUCUUUAACAUUUUUCAAGGGAUGUGAGCAAACUGGAACUUUGUUAGUAGCUGAGCGCUGCCUCCGUGGCCCCGCGGUCGGAGGAUGUGGCUGCGCGGCAGAGGGACUCGGAGGCACGCACCUCGGUGUCCGCAGCAGCAUGACUCCCAGGAGCCGGAAAGCAGACACGGCCGGAGGGUCCGCUGACAGGUGAUGGAUAAACCAACUGUGGUCCAUCCCGAGGGAAUAGCACUCGGUCAUAACAAAGACCAAAGCCCUGACACGCGCUUCACAGUGGACGAACCUCACGGCCUCACGCUGAGUGAGAGAAGCUGACACAGAAGGCCUCAUGUGAUCCCAUAGGGGAAACGUCCAGAACAGGCAGAUCCACAGACAGAGGCAGACGGGCGGUGGCCCGGGGCUGGGGAGGGGGCUGGGGAGGGGCUGCUCGUGGGGACGGGGUCUCCUUCUAGGGUGAAGGAAUGUUCAGGAAUUAGAUACUGGUGGUGGUUGCAUGUGCACUAAAUGUCCCUGAAUUGUGUACUUUAAGUUGGUUCAUUUUGUUAUGUGAAUUUCACCUCAAUUAAAAAAAAAAGAUUUUGGGGCCGGCCUGGGGGUGCAGCAGUGAAGUGCGCACAUUCCGCUUCCUUGGCCCGGGGUUCGCGGGUUUGGAUCCUGGGUGUGGCCAUGGCACCUCUUGG
rnacentral:lncRNA from 1 species